UGGACCAAUGACGAUGACUGGUGGCAUAUGAGUCAUGGAUGAUGAACGCUCAGUGUCAGGAACUCUGAGGUCCAA
rnacentral:snoRNA from 1 species